rnacentral:rRNA from 1 species
CGUAACAAGGUCUCCGUAGGUGAACCUGCGGAGGGAUCAUUACACAAAUAUGAAGGCGGGCUGGAACCUCUCGGGGUUACAGCCUUGCUGAAUUAUUCACCCUUGUCUUUUGCGUACUUCUUGUUUCCUUGGUGGGUUCGCCCACCACUAGGACAAACAUAAACCUUUUGUAAUUGCAAUCAGCGUCAGUAACAAAUUAAUAAUUACAACUUUCAACAACGGAUCUCUUGGUUCUGGCAUCGAUGAAGAACGCAGCGAAAUGCGAUAAGUAGUGUGAAUUGCAGAAUUCAGUGAAUCAUCGAAUCUUUGAACGCACAUUGCGCCCUUUGGUAUUCCAAAGGGCAUGCCUGUUCGAGCGUCAUUUGUACCCUCAAGCUUUGCUUGGUGUUGGGCGUCUCGUCUCUAGCUUUGCUGGAGACUCGCCUUAAAGUAAUUGGCAGCCGGCCUACUGGUUUCGGAGCGCAGCACAAGUCGCACUCUCUAUCAGCAAAGGUCUAGCAUCCAUUAAGCCUUUUUUUCAACUUUUGACCUCGGAUCAGGUAGGGAUACCCGCUGAACUUAAGCAUAUCA